rnacentral:rRNA from 1 species
CCUACGGGUGGCAGCAGUGAGGAAUAUUGGUCAAUGGCCGCGAGCCUGAACCAGCCAAGUAGCGUGAAGGAUGACUGCCCUACGGUUUGUAAACUUCUUUUAUAAAGGAAUAAAGGUAGCCACGUGUGCCUUUUUGUAUGUACCUUAUGAAUAAGCAUCGGCUAACUCCGUGCCAGCAGCCGCGGUAAUACGGAGGAUUCGAGCGUUAUCCGGAUUUAUUGGGGUUAAAGGGUGCGUAGAUUGGUUGUUAAGUCAGUUGUGAAAGUUUGGGGCUCAACCGUAAAAUUGCAAGUGAUACUGGCAGUCUUGAGUGUAGUUGAGGUAGGCGGAAUUCGUGGUGUAGCGGUGAAAUGCUUAGAUAUCACGAAGAACUCCGAUUGCGAAGGCAGCUUACUAAGCUGCAACUGACAUUGAUGCUCGAAAGCGUGGGUAUCAAACAGGAUUAGAUACCCGUGUAGUC